AGCAGCCGCGGUAAUUCCAGCUCCAAUAGCGUAUAUUAAAGUUGCUGCAGUUAAAAAGCUCGUAGUUGAAUUUCGGGACCAUCAUGUCGGUCAUGCUUCGGUACGUACUGGCAUUGUUGGUUUCUACCUUCUGACGAACCAUGAUGUCAUUAAUUUGGUGUCUUGGGGAAUCAGGACUGUUACUUUGAAAAAAUUAGAGUGUUUAAAGCAGGCUCGCGCUUGAAUACAUUAGCAUGGAAUAAUGAAAUAGGACGUUUGAUUCUAUUUUGUUGGUUUCUAGGAUCGACGUAAUGAUUAAUAGGGAUAGUUGGGGGCAUUAGUAUUCAAUUGUCAGAGGUGAAAUUCUUGGAUUUAUUGAAGACUAACUACUGCGAAAGCAUUUGCCAAGGAUGUUUUCAUUAAUCAAGAACGAAAGUUAGGGGAUCGAAGACGAUCAGAUACCGUCGUAGUCUUAACCAUAAACUAUGCCGACUAGGGAUCGGAUGAUGUAAUUUUUAAUGA
rnacentral:rRNA from 1 species